rnacentral:rRNA from 1 species
UACGGAGGGUGCAAGCGUUAUCCGGAUUCACUGGGCUUAAAGGGUGCGUAGGCGGGUUGGUAAGUCAGUGGUGAAAUCCCCGAGCUUAACUUGGGAACUGCCAUUGAUACUAUCAGUCUUGAAUACCGUGGAGGUCAGCGGAAUAUGUCAUGUAGCGGUGAAAUGCUUAGAUAUGACAUAGAACACCAAUUGCGAAGGCAGCUGGCUACUCGGAUAUUGACACUGAGGCACGAAAGCGUGGGGAGCAAACAGG